rnacentral:lncRNA from 1 species
CUACUACUAAAAGCCUCCCAUCCACUUUUGAUUACCUUCCACACCAUAUAUCUUUCCUUGACAACUCUAGAGCACCAUCCUCCCUUUUCCUCACCAUAUUUACCUAUAGUCACCUUCUUCCAAAAAGAAUAUCUCUUUGUAGCAAAUCUCCAACACCAUUUACCAAAAAGUGCUUUAUUGAAGAUAGACAACCUUCCAAUGCCGAGUCCCUCCCUUUUGUUUUUAAUCGUCAACCAAUUUAAAAGGAACAAAACCCCAAACUUCCUGAACCAAAAAAGACUCAUUCCCCAUCUCACUUGGAUAUUAAAAGAAAAACUUCAUUGAAAACACACCACCCUAAUUCUCCUUCCAAUGCAAUCGCAACACAUGAUGGUGAACUUUUUAGGUUGUGGAACCAUCGGAAAAAAGUCCAUGUCUGUGUUUAAGCAGAUCUGGAUUAGCCUAAAUCUUUAGUAAAUGGGUUCUAGCCUCUAGAUUCCAAUUUUAUCCUUUUAU